UGGCGGACGGGUGAGUAACGCGUGGGUAACCUGCCCUGUACUGGGGGACAACAGUUAGAAAUGACUGCUAAUACCGCAUAAGCGCACAGGACCGCAUGGUCCGGUGCGAAAAACUCCGGUGGUACAGGAUGGACCCGCGUCUGAUUAGGUAGUUGGCGGGGUAACGGCCCACCAAGCCGACGAUCAGUAGCCGACCUGAGAGGGUGACCGGCCACAUUGGGACUGAGACACGGCCCAAACUCCUACGGAAGGCAGCAG
rnacentral:rRNA from 1 species